AACUGGAACGAUGCAAAUUGUAGUGGAACGAGUGGAUAUAUCUGCGAGAAUCAACAUGUAUGUAUGAUACGUUUCUCCUUUCCAAGUGUGCGUAAACAAAAAUGAUAUCAUGAACGAAUUUAUUUGACUCUCCAAAUAAUUAAUUUAUCUUUACAAAAGGCAAAACUACAGAUUGAGUGCAUAGAUGUUAGCCAGUAUGGAACGCCAUCACUGCCUUAUAAGAAGAAACUACUAUGACAUGAUGCAAAUGUUGCUUACAUGAUGUGAAUUCUCCUUUAUAUGAUGUGAAUUCUUCUUUACAUGAUGUGAAUUCUACUUAACAUGAUGUGAAUUCUUCAUUACAUGACUGUGAAUUCUUCUUUACAUGAUGUAAAAUCUUCUUUACAUGAUGUGAAAACUUCAUUAUAUGAUGUGGUUUCCUCUUUACAUGAUGUGAAAACUUCAUUAAGUGAUGUGGUUGUUUCAUUACCUAAUCUGAAAGUUUUAUUACAUGAUGCGAAAAUUUCUUUACGUUAUGUUAAAAAAUCUUUAUGUCGUAUUUCUAUUACAUUAUGCCAAAAUAUAUACAUCGUAAUGUCAAAUGGGUAUUACGAGGUAAGAAACACAUAUGACGUUAUGUGAACACUUCAUUAUGUCAAAACAUCUUUAUAAGAACACGGGACCUCUCGGACGUUAUUACGCAUGGCGUUUAUAACUUAAAUUCCUUUAAAUGGGUAUACGAUAAAUGCAUUGAGCUAAAAAUAUAGGUCAUAGUUCUGCUAGAUUUUAUAUAGAAAUCAAAUGACCUUUCUUUUUUUUUUAUGAAAUUCUAUAUCAAAAUUCAUUGUGGCUUGAUAACUGAAUAUUGAUUUAGGGUAAUGUUAUGUUCUACAUAUUUUAUUAAUAUGCUAUUGGAAAUCAUAUAGUAAUGGCUUAUUGUGGUAUUUAAGGAAGUACUUAGGUGAGGUUUUGGAAAUAUGUGUCAGAUUUUCAGACUCCUUGGAUUUUUUCCAAAGCUAUAGGGUAAAAUAUUUUGCCCCAUAACACCAACUUUUAUUUUCAUAAUUGAAAACUUCAAAGCUAAUUUUGGAGAUCCAAUGUAAAUGUAAGGUAAAAGUCCAAGUCAGCCUUUUCCCGCCAUUUUUUAAAACUGAAAUAUCUCAAAAAGGAGCUCUAUGACCUAUCAAUAUUUUUUUAUCUUAUUUUGUUCCUUAGCUGAUGCUCUUUCGACUUAUAGUAUCAUUUUUAAUUUCUGGAUUUUUUAAAAUCUCAACUAAGUACAUCCUAAAUUAAAUGCAUUUAAAGGGAGCUGUAUGUCAAAUUUCUGUAAAUUAUGAGUGAUGCUAUACAUUUAGAGCUUAUAUAAGCAUGGCCGUGUCAUAUUUAAAAUUUUCUUUUUCUAAAAGUAUAAGUCAUUUUUUUUUAUAUAUUUAUAUAGAUUUAGGAACCUAAUGAAUUUUAUAUGAAAAUAGUACUUUUUAGAGGCAAUGUUGGCAAACCCCUUCCAAAAAAUAUCGAAAAUACUUCUCCUAUAUCAUGUAUAUCCAGAAACUAUACGGUACAUGUACAGUUGUCUCACUUACGUUACUUUGUUACAUAUCUCACUUUCAACACUUUCAAAUUAAUUAAUCUAUUAAUUUAUCUCAACUUAAAAACAUAAAUCCAUAAAAAAUGGCUGAGAAGUGAUACACAAACGUAAAAAGUGUGGACAAAGACCAGCAUGGGUAGCAUCCAGCAUUCUGAGAGUAUUGCAUGGCAAUACAUAGUCCCCUACCAGUUAAAAUUCAUUAUUCUCAAACAGAAAAUUUGAAUUGAUGUGUAAAUUGUAAUGUUAAAAGUAUAGAUACCAAAUAUCAAAUCAAUAUAACGUUGGUAAGACAAGCAUGACCGACUAAAACAUGUGCAGAACAUUGAUUAAUUGUGUGAUUUUUCUUGGUCUAAUGAUCAUAUGAAUUUGCAAAAUAUCAUCAAAUCAAAACUAAAUUUAAACUUGAUCUGUAACUUGUAAUGGUAAAACUAUAAACCAAAUUUCAAAUCUAAAUCUGAAAGUUAAUGACAAAAAAAUAGUGGAAAAUUUAUUUCUUGCAUGAUUUUUUUAAGUUCGAAGACCAUAACUUUGCAAAAAAUCAUCAGACCGAAACACAAUUCGCACUUGAUCUGUAACUUGUCAUGGUUUUACUAUAUGCCAAAUUUUAAGUCAAUAUCUUUAAAAAGCAAAAUGUGAAAACCAAUUAUCUGAAUGAAUUUUCUAAGUCCAAGGGCCAUAACUCUGCAAAAAAUCCUCAAACCGGAACAAAACUAGAACUUGAUCUGUAACUUGUCAUGGUUACAUUAUAUACUAAAUAUAUAUCUUCCAGCAUGGCCAACAACAGUGCCAUAUCUCUUGCACGUAAAAAACAUCCUUGUAAAAACGAGUUGGCUAAUGCCGCUACAAGGCAUUCAUUCAUUUUUUCCCGUUAACUAUUACACAAUGGAAUGUACUACCUCCAAAGGUAGUACUUUCUCCGACCUUAAAUAUUUUUAGAGAACAGUUGACGCCUACUGUUCUCUACAAUAUAGAACAGUAAACCUAGUAGUUAUGUAAAUAGUUUUAACCACAUGUCAUGUUAGUAUUUGUUUAUUUUUGGCCCUAUUUUUUUGUAAAUAUUUAUUUAUUAUUAUUCUACGCAUGCGCAGCAGUUGGUAAUUAUCAAAAAUCUGAUGGAUAACUGGAUACCAUAAGAAGAAGCACUCGCAUUCGCAAAGUGGAAAGGGUUUAUAUAAGUUGCAGAACUUGUUUCCAAAUCCACUAUAAAUAAAUAUGUUUAAAACUAAAAAAUGCGGAAAGCCAAUUUUCCGGACGGACGUUCUGACAGACGGACAAAGUGCAAACCUAAAGUCCCCUUCAACUUCGUUGGUAAGGAACUCAUAAAAAUUUUGUAUAUAAUACUGAGUUUCCUAAAAUAUAAACCUUAUAAUAGUGUAAUAGAUGUGCCUAGUUAAUUCCCCUUAAUUUUGGAUAGAUUAAUUAUUUGUUGAUUAAAUGUUUAUUUUAAGUUUAAUUUGAUUUAACUCCAUAGUGAGAUAAAAGUAAGGAUUAUUAAUUUAACUGUUUUAGUAUUUAACUUUUGAUGUUUCUGUAAUGUUUUAUGAAUGUUAAUCUUCAGUACCUUUUCUGUUAAAGUUAUCCGGUUUAAUGACAAUAUAAGAAUUUUAAUUGUUUUUCAGUCGGAGUCGGCCUUGUACUGGCCUCCAAAUACUCGCCGGACUGUAUCAGUCCACUUGAGUUUAGAGUUAGUCACCACUUCGGUGCAGUUCGCUAGAGUCAUGCAGUCACCUCUUCUUGGUGCAAUUUUACUACUUAAAACACAACGCGAAGCCAAUUUACUUUACUAAAGACUAACUCUGGGAACACUUUAUUUUUCAUUUUACAUUUGAAAUUACUCUAUUUUUGAUCUUCAUUUAAGAAAGUUUUUUGACUCUCGUUUGUCCGCAAUUAUUGUACAUUAGUGAAUAAACAUAGUUUCAUUUGAUUAAUUGUGUGUUGUUCAACCAUAAUCUGACAUCAGGUGUCCCGAUGGUCGAAUAGGGACACAAUAAUGGCAACUUCCCGUCCCGGGAGGUGUCGUCACCGACCCCCUCCGUUACAAUAGCACUACCAUAAAAAUACACCACCAAGAACGUUUCUAUAAAGUUUUGAACCCUUGAAUGGCCUAACUACAAUUAAAUCCUAUAUAUCCUUAACAAGCCUAUGGACUGUGCAACAAAACGUUUAUAGUGAAUAUAGGGCACAGAUUUGGGUAAAGGAGUUAUGGAGCACCAGAAUACCGAAAACGGCCAAACCUAAUAAUAAAAAACACAAAGCACGCUUCUAUCAAGUUUUGAACCCUUAAAUGGUCUCAUUAAACAAUUUACAUGACGUAUAAUUAUAAGGUGACGUUCACAUCAGGUAAUGCAGUUCUAGCAUCACGUACUGCAAUAUUCACAUCAUACACUAAAGUAUUCGCAUCAAGUACAAGGGUUUUUAUUUUAACAGCACAUAAGAAAAGUUUCGCAUAAUGUAAUGAAACAACCACAUCACGUAAAGACGUUUUCACAUCAUGUAAUGAAGUUUUCACAUAAUGUAAUGAAGUUUUCACAUCAUGUAAUGUAAUGAAGUUUUCACAUCAUGUAAUGAAGAGUUCACAUCAUGUAAUGAAGAAUUCACAUCAUGUAAUGAAGAGUUCACAUCAUGUAAAGAAGAAUUCACAUCAUGUAAUGAAGAAUUCACAUCAUGUUAUGAAGAAUUCACACCAUGUAAUGAAGAGUUCACAUCAUGUAAAGAAGAGUUCACAUCAUGUAAAGAAGAAUUCACAUCAUGUAAUGAAGAAUUCACAUCAUAUAAAGGAGAAUUCACAUCAUGUAAGCAACAUUUGCAUCAUGUCAUAGUAGUUUCUUCUUAUAAGGCAGUGAUGGCGUUCCAUAGCCAAGGUUAAAAAUCAUGAUAUAUAUAUACUAGGUUUCAACUCUUUGAUUGAUAAGACCUUAUAUACCCUGGCGAGUAACUAUUUCGCCACAAUUUAUUCACUGAUAUUUAAAUGAUAGAUAUAUAUAGGGCAUCGAGUAUUGUAUACAAUACAAUAUUUUUUUUUUAUUUUCCAAAUUAAAGGGCACAUUAAGAGCAUAACAUUAAUAACAAAAAAAAAGAAAAGAAAAAGGCUAAAUUACAAUUGGCAGCAAACAGGAAACACUAUAAAUAUAUAGCUUUAUGAAGGGACACAUUUUUUUUUCUAAUGAAGGAAUCGUUGCUGCUACAACACCAGCAACGUUUUUCAUCAAUCGGAGGUGAUUUCACUUUAUUUUAAAAAAACAACAAUCAAGCAUUGCAAGAGUUUGCUGUAGUAGAUUUCCUUAAAAAACAUCUGACAUGUGACUCUUCCAACUCAAUAUAUUAACAGCCUCAGGCUGGUGAUAUGUUAUACUGAGGAUCUAAUCAUAAUUCACCAUGAAAAUCUCCGAAUAGAUGAUAUCUCAUUGUAAAUGAUGGUUCAGAGAACUCCAACAUAUCAAUUGGAACCAUAACUUUAAAAUAAGGAUGGAUACCCGGUUGAUGAUAGUUGACAAAAAGGUAAAACACGCUAUACAUGCACAGAGGAACACGUAUUUGAUCAAAAUGAUGCAAGUUUCUUAUUUACAACAUAUUUGUAGAAUGUGAUGGUACAACAAAUUGUCGGCAUUCCUAUGGAAAUCAGUCAGGAAUAAGACAGCUGUUUUCCAUUUGUUAUGUUAUGAUAUGUUUGAGCUUUUGAAUUUGCAAUUUGAAAAUUAAGGGACUUUCCGUUUUGAAUUUUCUUUGGAAUUCGGUAGUUUUGUUAUUUUAAGAAAAAAUAUAUAUCUUUAAUAAAACCACAGACAUACAUAUAAACACCAAUAAACCACAACAUACCAACCCCCUUAAAAAACAAUGAAAUCGAAUAAAAAAAAAGUUCAUUUAGCAUAGAUUGUACAUUCGAUUUUAGCUUGGUAGUAUUUAAUUUACAAGGUUGAAGAUUGUUCGGAACUUUUGUAGCGUAAUAGUACUUGUUUUCUAGUUUUUAAUUUUAUUUUACAGGGAUCUAAGUGCCUCCCUUAUGUAAAAGUAUGAAGCGAACAUUCGAUUGAAAAAAGAAGAUGUUUCCUGACAUCUGCAAGAUAAUUACCUUAAUAAAGACAUUAUUUCAAAAUUUCUUGUUUUAUUGUAGUAGUAGUCAUAAUUCCGUCUUCUGAUAUGUUUUGAUUCUCAAAAGUUCCUUAUAGAUCUUUAUAAAUUUUCAAACCGAAAUGCCUGUACCUUAAUUUAACGGUAGUCAUAUGAGCGAAAACCAUUCCGUAAAGUUAAGACCCCUCCUCAACUCAAGUAAGCUCUGUAAAACUCACGGCCGGCACGACAA
rnacentral:lncRNA from 1 species